rnacentral:rRNA from 1 species
GUUGGUGGGGUAACGGCCUACCAAGUCGACGAUCCAUAGCCGGACUGAGAGGUUGAACGGCCACAUUGGGACUGAGACACGGCCCAGACUCCUACGGGAGGCAGCAGUGGGGAAUAUUGCACAAUGGGGGAAACCCUGAUGCAGCGAUGCCGCGUGAGGGAAGAAGGUUUUCGGAUUGUAAACCUCUGUUUUAAGUGAAGAUAAUGACGGUAGCUUAAGAGGAAGCCACGGCUAACUAC